rnacentral:rRNA from 1 species
GGGUUGUGAGGUUAAGCGACUAAGCGUACACGGUGGAUGCCCUGGCAGUCAGAGGCGAUGAAGGGCGUGCUAAUCUGCGAUAAGCGCCGGUAAGGUGAUAUGAACCGUUAUAACCGGCGAUACCCGAAUGGGGAAACCCAGUGUGACUCGUCACACUAUCAUUAACUGAAUCCAUAGGUUAAUGAGGCGAACCGGGGGAACUGAAACAUCUAAGUACCCCGAGGAAAAGAAAUCAACCGAGAUUCCCCCAGUAGCGGCGAGCGAACGGGGAGGAGCCCAGAGCCUGAAUCAGCAUGUGUGUUAGUGGAAGCGUCUGGAAAGGCGCGCGAUACAGGGUGACAGCCCCGUACACAAAAGCGCAUGUGCUGUGAGCUCGAUGAGUAGGGCGGGACACGUGGUAUCCUGUCUGAAUAUGGGGGGACCAUCCUCCAAGGCUAAAUACUCCUGACUGACCGAUAGUGAACCAGUACCGUGAGGGAAAGGCGAAAAGAACCCCGGCGAGGGGAGUGAAAAAGAACCUGAAACCGUGUACGUACAAGCAGUGGGAGCCCCACCACUAAGCCAGUGGUGAACUCCACAUACGCAUCCUUUGCUGAGGAUACGGUUAACGGAGCGCAAGCGACGUUCAACCGCAAAAGAAGCAGAGGGGGCUUAGUGGUGGGGUGACUGCGUACCUUUUGUAUAAUGGGUCAGCGACUUAUAUUCU